UCUAACAUGGCUACCGUUUCAUUUCGAUUGGAUCUCUCCAAUAUUAUUAUAAGAAUUUAAGACACUUAUCUUCACCUUGAUGCCUGAUUUGCAAAGUCUUCCGAUUCGGCACACAAUAGCGCUGUCCUAAGUACUAAACGGGAUGGCAGGCUGCUGUGGCUGUUGUGCAGCCUUGAAACCUCGUUACAAGAGACUGGUAGACAACAUAUUUCCAGCAAACCCAGAGGAUGGACUGGUAAAGAACAAUAUGGCUCAGUUGACAUUCUAUGCCGUAUCGUCACCUGACAAGCUGGACAAGAUUGGUCAGUAUCUUGAACAGAGGCUCAACAGAGAAGUGCACAGACAUCGCAUACCGUUUGUGUUUAUUGCCAUGGAUGCCCUGGACCAACUGUUAAAGUCCUGCCACGCCCAGUCCCUCAACCUGUUUGUGGAGAGCUUCCUCAAGAUGGUGCAGAAACUGCUUGAGUGUGAAGAGCCGGAGCUGCAGAUCCUGGCCACAAGCUCUUUUGUAAAGUUCGCCAACAUUGAAGAAGACACUCCAUCAUACCACAGACGCUACGACUUUUUCGUGUCCAAGUUCAGCUCAAUGUGCCACAGCAGUAUUUCAGAGGAAGACAUGCAAAGAAGGAUCCGACAGGCAGGUCUGAGUGGACUUCAGGGUGUGGUGAGGAAGACAGUGUCGGAUGACUUGCAGGUCAACAUCUGGGAUCCUGUGCACAUGGACAAGAUAGUACCAUCACUGCUGUACAACAUGGAGGAGAGAAGUGUGUUGAGCCAGGGGGCAGACAGUCCUCGGGAUGAGGAGAGUCCCUCCUAUGCAGCCGAGACGGUGUUCCGGGACCUGGUGUGUCGGGCUUCCUAUGGCUACAUCGAGACGGUGCUCAGGCCAGUGUUAAUUCAUUUCGACAAUCACAAGCUUUGGAGUCCCAAUGUGUUUGCCAUCAAGUGCUUCAAGAUUAUCAUGUACUCAGUGCAGGCUCAGUAUGGCUACCUGGUGAUCCAGAGUCUGUUGAAGCACCUGGACAAGCAUGUGAAGAGUGACCCCUAUGUGAAGGUGGGCAUCAUUGGCGUGCUGUUUGAGUCAGUUCUUAUUGCUGCCGGAGGCUCUAUAGGUCCAUCAGUACUGGAGGUCUUCAACAACCUACUGCGACACCUUAGAAUUUCCGUUGACAACAAGAGCCAUGACACACACAAACGUACAUCCGAGAAGAAGUUUGAGGAAGCCAUUAUAAACACUAUAGGGGAGUUUGCUAACAACCUUCCAGACUAUCAGAAGAUUGAGAUAAUGAUGUUCGUCAUGGGUAAAUUCCCCCAGUUCACAAAUGAAGAGGAUAUCGGAGGCUCCAUGGACACACAGCUCCAGAUCAACUUACUCAAGACAUUGUUGAAGGUGGCUACCAAGUACAAGACAAUGAACAUGCAGAAUGCAUUCCCACCUGAGUUCCUGCAUCCCCUACUACGAAUGUCCCUUCUUGAUGACCCGGGAAUGAGGAUUAUCGUUCAGGAGAUCCUGCACACCAUGAUUGACAGGCACAAUAACUCAACCAAACUGAAGUCUGUUGUGAUGUCAAAAGAUGUGAGUGAGCUUGAGCUGUCUGUGGAGAAGACCAGUAGACAGGAUAUCAUGUUCAUGAAGAAGAGUGGCAUGCAGUUCUACUGGCACCUGCUGGAGAACAUGCAGAUGGAGAGCAACUGUGUGGACAACUUCGAGGCUCUCUACUGCACCAUGGCCCUCAUUUGCAUCGAGAUGGGAGGAGAUGAGAUACUGGUGGAACUAUUCAGACUGGCGCUGGAUAUACAGCAAAUGGCUGUAACAAACAUGGGCCUCCCCUUAACUCACAAAUGUGCAAUCCAUGGCCUCAUCGGAGCAUACCUGAACCUUGUCAGUCAACUCACAGCCAUCCCUCAGCUGUGUCAGUAUGUAGCCCAGGUUACAGAUGCACGCAGUAAGGAGGCCCCCUAUCUCCUGCCCAACUUUGCCUACAACCGGACAAACCGACCACACAGGCUUCACUUGGGGCCGGGAUGUUACAUCGGCACAGCUGGAGACAUGAACAAUUCUCCCUUUGUGGGCCAGACACCCAUUCAUGUUUUGUGUGACAUCUUUUAAGUCCAACAUGCCAGUCAUGUAUGUUUGUGCCUUUAUGAAGCUGUGCAGUGCUUCUUCAACUUUGUGUAAAAGAUCUGUAAGUGUUGUGAACACACUGAAAGGCCUCUGCACAAAUAAGUAUCUUAGGAAAUAUUUUUGAAGGGUCUGCUUUUAAGCUUUUGAUGUAAAGAAACUUUUGAAGGACUUAUUUUGAUUUGUACAGAAUCUGUGGGCGCUGCCAAUAAAUAAUGUGUUACACUACACAUAAGAUUCUGUCUUUGUUUACAAGACAUUUUGUUUAUAAUGCUACUUUCACGUAUCAUCGAAAACAUUCUUUUUCAAAAUUCUCUUUCACCUAGUUUUUCAUUUAGAACUGUUGGAGUGCUGUUCAUGUAUAUCACACAGCAGCAUUGUAGCUGUCUCCUGUACUGGCUUCAUGACUGGCAUGGAGGUUUCCUGGCUGUGUGUAACGUUGCGGCCCUGGAGCUUCUGUGUUCACAUGGCUUCCUGUGUAACCAAGUAACCAGCAUGCCGCUUGUCCUAACUUACACCAUGUCCUAGGUGUCCUAGUUGCUGUUCAACAUCAUUAUUUGCAGAAUUUGCAGAAGUAGUCUGUUUGUUCCAGUUUCAGACACCUGAUUCAUAGUGAAUCUUGCGUAUACUUGUAUUUUCCAGGUAGCAUUUGUUCUGUUCUUGUCCCAACUUACACAUUAAUAUCCAGGCAUGUUAUGUGUAAAAUGGAUUGUGACAGUGUUCUAGAUAUAAGAUGUAGAUAUUGGCGCUUGUCAAGUCAGCUGGAAGCAUGUAUUGUUACAAGCAGUCUAGCUGGGGGCCAGUGAAUGUGAGCUGCGUUGGCAAGCCAGCUGAUAACAGUAUUUGAUGGAAACCGUAUACUCAGCUGGUGGAACAGUGCCCUGAAGUGACUCAGGGUAUUGUGAUAACUGACUAGUGGUCAGGCUCCGCUUGGCUUAUUGCAUGUCAUCUUGCCCUGAUAAUUGACUAGAAUAGAUCAAGUGGUCAGGCUCCGCUUGGCUUAUUGCAUGUCAUCUUGCCCUGAUAAUUGACUAGAAUAGAUCAAGUGGUCAGGCUCCGCUUGGCUUAUUGCAUGUCAUCUUGCCCUGAUAAUUGACUAGAAUAGAUCAAGUAGUCAGGCUCCGCUUGGCUUAUUGCAUGUCAUCUUGCCCUGAUAAUUGACUAGAAUAGAUCAAGUGGUCAGGCUCCGCUUGGCUAAUUGCAUGUCAUCUUGCCCUGAUAAUUGACUAGAAUAGAUCAAGUGGUCAGGCUCCACUUGGCUAAUUGCAUGUCAUCUUGCCCUGAUAAUUGACUAGAAUAGAUCAAGUGGUCAGGCUCCGCUUGGCUUAUUGCAUGUCAUCUUGCCCUGAUAAUUGACUAGAAUAGAUCAAGUGGUCAGGCUCCACUUGGCUAAUUGCAUGUCAUCUUGCCCUGAUAAUUGACUAGAAUAGAUCAAGUGGUCAGGCUCCGCUUGGCUUAUUGCAUGUCAUCUUGCCCUGAUAAUUGACUAGAAUAGAUCAAGUGGUCAGGCUCCGCUUGGCUUAUUGCAUGUCAUCUUGCCCUGAUAAUUGACUAGAAUAUAUCAAGUGGUCAGGCUCCGCUUGGCUAAUUGCAUGUCAUCUUGCCCUGAUAAUUGACUAGAAUAGAUCAAGUGGUCAGGCUCCACUUGGCUAAUUGCAUGUCAUCUUGCCCUGAUAAUUGACUAGAAUAGAUCAAGUGGUCAGGCUCCGCUUGGCUAAUUGCAUGUCAUCUUGCCCUGAUAAUUGACUAGAAUAGAUCAAGUGGUCAGGCUCCGCUUGGCUUAUUGCAUGUCAUCCUGCCCUGAUAAUUGACUAGAAUAGAUCAAGUGGUCAGGCUCCGCUUGGCUAAUUGCAUGUCAUCUUGCCCUGAUAAUUGACCAGAAUAGAUCAAGUGGUCAGGCUCCACUUGGCUUAUUGCAUGUCAUCCUGCCCUGAUAAUUGACUAGAAUAGAUCAAGUGGUCAGGCUCCACUUGGCUAAUUGCAUGUCAUCUUGCCCUGAUAAUGUAGAUUGAUGCUCAUGCUUCCAGUUACUAAGUUGUCUUGCCCAGACUUGAUUAUUGACUGGUCGUCUUGAUAUAGCUUGGAUAGUGUUGAUAACAUGUUGAACAACAACCCAUGGUUCUAUGGUGCAGUAGUUAUUGAAUGCAAGGGAGGAAUAUUAAACAGACUUCUGUUACCACUGUUGGCUCUGGACAUUUUAAUAACUUCAAGCUGACACCAGGGGAUUUAGAACCAGGGCCUUUGGUAUGACAAAUGAUCGCUGUAGCCACUAGACCACUUCAUUGCAAGAUCUGUGAAGAUCCGGGGUAGAAUUGGUCUAAGCAAUCCAUGCUUGUCGUAAAAGGUGACUUAUGGGAUUGUGUGAUCAGCCGUGGUGAUUUGGUUGAUGCAUGUCAUCAAUUGUGUAAUUGAUGCUCAUGAUGUCAAUCACUGGAUUGUCUGGUCGAGACUUGAUUCUUUACAGACCACCAUCAUAUAGCUGGAAUAUUGCUGAGUGCGAGGUUAAACCACAAACAAACAUACAACCAAACAAAACUUCAAACAAAAAGUAAUUUCAGCAUGUAACAGACAUUAAUAUCUAAUAGCGUCUCUGUGAAGUAUUCUAACAAACAAAGUCUCCUGAUUUACCAUUUCAGAGACAGUUAUAUUGUGUAUAUAACUAACACAUCUUAAAAUGGGGAAUGAUUCAGCUACCAUUGGCUCUAAGACUUACGACAAAAAGUCUGAUAUUCAAGGUUAAUAAUACAUGCCUGAAAAAUAAAUUUCAGAAAACCUUGUCAUCCUAUAACAAAGUAUGGGAUGUAGACCAACAACCCUUGACAGGGAGUCACCAUUGAGGGCAAGUCUCAGCAACACAAAACACCCUUUAUCCUGGAGCUUUCCUUACAACAUGCCUUCACUGUUAGGAUGAAUGAUUCUUUUAUCUGUCACCGUAGUUAUUGCAUUUGACUGGCAGCACUCUUCAUCAGACCAAACCUUGCUUCUGUGUGACACUUGUGAAGCCCAUUUCUGGUUUCCCCCACCGUGAUAUUGCUGUAAUAUUGCUAAAAGCGGCUCACAACCAUACUUUCUUACUCUGUAUGACACUGCUCUUCAGUAAUAACAGUCCCCUCCUUUUUGAGUUUUGUAGGAUUUAUUUCAUAUAUAUACAGUAAACUAUGUUUUUAACGAACAAUCUUAUGACAAACUGACCGAUAUAACAAACUUAUUUUUUAUUCCUGGCUAUUUGUUGAAUAUAUGCUGUAUAUAUGCUUAUAACGAACUAAGGUUAUUACAAACUAAAAACCUUUUGAGUUUGUUAUAACCAUAGUUUACUGUAUACCUCACAUAAUUUUUAUAAUCUUGUGUAGAAAUGUAAUUCUGUCAGUUUAACAUAGAUUUGUUUGUAACAAUGAAGAUGUUGUAAGUUGUUCAAUAUAUGUAUCGUGAUAUGCUAAUUCAUGUAAAUUGAAAACAAUAGUAAUUGUCUGAUCAUUAUAGCUGAAUGUGUCUUGCUGUACAGGGUCCAUGAUCAGUCCAUUGUGUGUACAUUAAACCACAAGUUACCACAGUAACUGUUUGUGCUAAAUAAAAUGGAAGAUGACUUGUACAGUCAUUAUUCUCUUUAGGAGAACAUUUACAGAAAGUAAUUAGUAGAAAGUACAUUUUCAGUUUGAAAUAAAUCUAUAUAAUAUGUUUGAAGGUUAUAAAUUGAAAACGUCAUGUGGUAUGAGUGUUCCUGUGUGGUCUACUGAUUUAUGUGUUCCCGUGUGUUCUGCUGAUCUAUGGCACUGGUUCUUGUGCCCACUGUAUGCUGUGAUGAGAUGUUGAUGUGAGUUGUGUUCCUGUGUGAUCUGCUGAUCUAUGGCACUGGUUCUUGUGCCCACUGUAUGCCAUGAUGAGAUGUUGGUGUGAAGUGUGUUCCUGUGUGAUCUGCUGAUCUAUGGCACUGGUUCUUGUGCCCACUGUAUGCCAUGAUGAGAUGUUGGUGUGAAGUGUGUUCCUGUGUGUUCUGCUGAUCUAUGGCAGUAGUUCUUGUGCCAACUGUAUGCUGUGAUGAGUUGUUGGUGUGAGUUGUGUUCCUGUGUGAUCUGCUGAUCUAUGGCACUGGUUCUUGUGCCCACUGUAUGCCAUGAUGAGAUGUUGGUGUGAAGUGUGUUCCUGUGUGUUCUGCUGAUCUAUGGCAGUGGUUCUAGUGCCCACUGUAUGCUGUGAUGAGAUGUUGGUGUGAGUUGUGUUCCUGUGUGAUCUGCUGAUCUAUGGCAGUGGUUCUAGUGCCCACUGUAUUCUGUGAUGAGAUGUUGGUGUGAAGUGUGUUCCCGUGUGUUCUGCUGAUCUAUGGCACUGGUUCUUGUGCCCACUGUAUGCCAUGAUGAGAUGUUGGUGUGAAGUGUGUUCCUGUGUGAUCUGCUGAUCUAUGGCACUGGUUCUUGUGCCCACUGUAUUCUGUGAUGAGAUGUUGAUGUGAGUUGUGUUCCUGUGUGUUCUGCUGAUCUAUGGCAGUGGUUCUAGUGCCCACUGUAUGCUGUGAUGAGAUGUUGGUGUGAAGUGUGUUCCUGUGUGUUCUGCUAAUCUAUUGCACUGGUUCUUGUGCCCACUGUAUGCCAUGAUGAGAUGUUGGUGUGAAGUGUGUUCCUGUGUGAUCUGCUGAUCUAUGGCAGUGGUUCUAGUGCCCACUGUAUGCUGUGAUGAGAUGUUGGUGUGAAGUGUGUUCCUGUGUGAUCUGCUGAUCUAUGGCAGUGUUUCUUGUGCCCACUGUAUGCCAUGAUGAGAUGUUGGUGUGAGUUGUGUUCCUGUGUGUUCUGCUGAUCUGUGGCACUGGUUCUUGUGCCCACUGUAUGCUGUGAUGAGAUGUUGGUGUGAGUUGUGUUCCUGUGUGUUCUGCUGAUCUAUGGCAGUGGUUCUUGUGCCCACUGUAUGCUGUGAUGAGUUGUUGGUGAGUUGUGUUCCUGUGUGUUCUGCUGAUCUAUGGCAGUGGUUCUUGUGCCCACUGUAUGCCAUGAUGAGAUGUUGGUGUGAGUUGUGUUCCUGUGUGAUCUGCUGAUAUAUGGCACUGGUUCUUGUGCUCGCUGUAUGCCAUGAUGAGAUGUUGGUGUGAAGUGUGUUCCUUUGUGUUCUGCUGAUCUAUGGCAGUGGUUCUUGUGCCCACUGUAUUCUGUGAUGAGAUGUUGGUGUGAAGUGUGUUCCUGUGUGUUCUGCUGAUCUAUGGCACUGGUUCUUGUGCCCGCUGUAUGCCAUGAUGAGAUGUUGGUGUGAAGUGUGUUCCUUUGUGAUCUGCUGAUCUAUGGCAGUGGUUCUUGUGCCCACUGUAUGCCAUGAUGAGAUGUUGGUGUGAAGUGUGUUCCUGUGUGAUCUGCUGAUCUAUGACAGUGGUUCUUGUGCCCGCUGUAUGCCAUGAUGAAAUGUUGGUGUGAGUUGUGUUCCUGUGUGAUCUGCUGAUCUAUAGCAGUGGUUCUUGUGCCCCCUGUAUGCUGUGAUGAGAUGUUGAUGAGAAUGUGUUCCUGUUACCAGCUACCCCUCCAGUGAAACAGUCAAAGACAGCUGGCUCUUCUCACAGGUCCAAAUUGCAGAAGCCUUGGCUGGCAGCGGCCAUGACACGUCUAGGCUCUCGACACCAUUCACGCACAAACCUUUUACUGCAGAGACUCCUGAUAUUGGGC